AGCAGCCAUCAUUUAAAGAAAGCGUAAUAGCUCACUGGUCGAGUCGGCCUGCGCGGAAGAUGUAACGGGGCUAAACCAUGCACCGAAGCUGCGGCAGCGACGCUGAUGCGUUGUUGGGUAGGGGAGCGUUCUGUAAGCCUGUGAAGGUGUGUCGUGAGGCAUGCUGGAGGUAUCAGAAGUGCGAAUGCUGACAUAAGUAACGAUAAAGCGGGUGAAAAGCCCGCUCGCCGGAAGACCAAGGGUUCCUGUCCAACGUUAAUCGGGGCAGGGUGAGUCGACCCCUAAGGCGAGGCCGAAAGGCGUAGUCGAUGGGAAACGGGUUAAUAUUCCCGUACUUGGUGUUACUGCGAAGGGGGGACGGAGAAGGCUAUGUUGGCCGGGCGACGGUUGUCCCGGUUUAAGCGUGUAGGUGUGUGUUCCAGGUAAAUCCGGUUCACUUUAACACUGAGGCGUGAUGACGAGGCACUACGGUGCUGAAGCAACAAAUGCCCUGCUUCCAGGAAAAGCCUCUAAGCAUCAGGUAACAUCAAAUCGUACCCCAAACCGACACAGGUGGUCAGGUAGAGAAUACCAAGGCGCUUGAGAGAACUCGGGUGAAGGAACUAGGCAAAAUGGUGCCGUAACUUCGGGAGAAGGCACGCUGACAUGUAGGUGAAGUGAUUUACUCACGGAGCUGAAGUCAGUCGAAGAUACCAGCUGGCUGCAACUGUUUAUUAAAAACACAGCACUGUGCAAACACGAAAGUGG
rnacentral:rRNA from 1 species